rnacentral:SRP_RNA from 1 species
GCCGGGCGUGGUGGCUCAUGCCUGUAAUCCCAGUACUUUGGGAGGCUGAGGCGGGUGGAUCACCUGAGGUCAGGAGUUCGAAACCACCCUGACCAACAUGGUGAAACCCCGUCUCUA